UAGCCGUAAACGAUACUCGCUAGGUGUCGGCCACGGUGCGACCGUUGUCGGUGCCGUAGGGAAGCCGUGAAGCGAGCCACCUGGGAAGUACGGCCGCAAGGCUGAAACUUAAAGGAAUUGGCGGGGGAGCACCACAACGGGUGGAGCUUGCGGUUUAAUUGGACUCAACGCCGGGAAGCUCACCGGAUAAGACAGCGGAAUGAUUGCCGGGCUGAAGACUCUGCAUGACUAGCUGAGAGGUGGUGCAUGGCGUAGUCGUGU
rnacentral:rRNA from 1 species